ACCUGGGUGGUGUAAACGAUUAACGCACUUGUCUGCUAACCAAAAAGUUGGAGGUUCAAGUCCACCCAGAGGCA
rnacentral:tRNA from 1 species